AACACUGUUAACCUGCGGUACCUGCGGAGGGAUCAUUAUAGUAUAUGGAAUCUCCAUUCUAUAAACCCACUCUGCGUAUCUUGUAACUGUUGCUUCCAUGGGACUUGGUUCCGCCACACCGGCUUCACGGCUGGUGAGCGCCCAUGGAAGGAGAAACAAAACUCUUCUUUGAAAUGUAGUCAGUCUGAACAAGUUUUUAUAAACGUUAAAACUUUUAACAACGGAUCUCAGAUCGGAAGA
rnacentral:misc_RNA from 1 species